UUAGAUCGUACCCACACUUACUUGGAUAACUGUGGUAAUUCUAGAGCUAAUACAUGCAAACAGAGCUCCGACCGGAGACGGAAGGAGCGCUUUUAUUAGAUCAAAACCGAUCGGUGGUGGAUUUUUCCAUCAUCGUACAAUUUGGUGACUCUGAAUAACUUUAAGCUGAUCGCACGGUCUUGCACCGGCGACGCAUCUUUCAAAUGUCUGCCUUAUCAACUGUCGAUGGUAGGUUCUGCGCCUACCAUGGUUGUAACGGGUAACGGGGAAUCAGGGUUCGAUUCCGGAGAGGGAGCCUGAGAAACGGCUACCACAUCCAAGGAAGGCAGCAGGCGCGCAAAUUACCCACUCCCGGCACGGGGAGGUAGUGACGAAAAAUAACGAUACGGGACUCAUCCGAGGCCCCGUAAUCGGAAUGAGUACACUCUAAACCCUUUAACGAGGAUCAAUUGGAGGGCAAGUCUGGUGCCAGCAGCCGCGGUAAUUCCAGCUCCAAUAGCGUAUAUUAAAGUUGUUGCGGUUAAAAAGCUCGUAGUCGAAUUUGUGUCUCGCACCGCCGGUUCAUCGUUCGCGGUGUCAACUGGCGUGCCGUGGGACGUCCUGCCGGUGGGUUUAGCUCGCAAGGGCGGCCCAAUCAAAUCCUGCCGCGGUGCUCUUCAUUGAGUGUCGAGGUGGGCCGGCACGUUUACUUUGAACAAAUUAGAGUGCUUAAAGCAGGCUAAAAUUUCGCCUGAAUACUAUGUGCAUGGAAUAAUGGAAUAGGACCUCGGUUCUAUUUUGUUGGUUUUCGGAACCCCGAGGUAAUGAUUAAUAGGAACGGAUGGGGGCAUUC
rnacentral:rRNA from 1 species